AACGAACGCUGGCGGCAGGCUUAACACAUGCAAGUCGAACGGUUGUAGCAAUACAGCAGUGGCAGACGGGUGAGUAACACGUGGGAACCUUCCUAGAGGUACGGAACAACGCAGGGAAACUUGCGCUAAUACCGUAUACGCUCGUGAGAGGAAAGAUUUAUCGCCUUUAGACGGGCCCGCGUCGGAUUAGGUAGUUGGUGGGGUAACGGCCUACCAAGCCGACGAUCCGUAGCUGAUCUGAGAGGAUGAUCAGCCACACUGGGACUGAGACACGGCCCAGACUCCUAUGGGAGGCAGCAGUCGGGAAUUUUGCGCAAUGGGCGAAAGCCUGACGCAGCAACGCCGCGUGAGGGAUGAAGGCCUUCGGGUUGUAAACCUCUUUUCUCAGGGACGAUGAUGACGGUAUCUGAGGAAUAAGCCACGGCUAACUACGUGCCAGCCGCCGCCGUAACAC
rnacentral:rRNA from 1 species